AUUGAACGCUGGCGGCAUGCUUUACACAUGCAAGUCGAACGGUAACAGGCCGCAAGGUGCUGACGAGUGGCGAACGGGUGAGUAAUGCAUCGGAACGUGCCCGGUCGUGGGGGAUAACGCAGCGAAAGCUGUGCUAAUACCGCACACGAUCUAUGGAUGAAAGCGGGGGACCGUAAGGCCCCGCGCGGUUGGAGCCGCGGAUGUCAGGUUAGCUAGGUGGGGGGGUAAAGGCCCACCAAGGCGCCGAGCUGUAGGUGGUCUGAGAGGACGACCAGCCACACUGGGACUGAGACACGGCCCAGACUCCUACGGGAGGCAGCAGUGGGGAAUUUUGGACAAUGGGCGCAAGCCUGAUCCAGCAAUGCCGCGUGCAGGAAGAAGGCCUUCGGGUGGUAAACUGCUUUUGUACGGAACGAAACGGUCUGGGUUAAUACCCUGGGCUAAUGACGGUACCGUAAGAAUAAGCACCGGCUAACUACGUGCCAGCCGCCGCAGUAA
rnacentral:rRNA from 1 species